rnacentral:rRNA from 1 species
CCUACGGGGGGCAGCAGUCGAGAAUCAUUCACAAUGGGGGAAACCCUGAUGGUGCGACGCCGCGUGGGGGAAUGAAGGUCUUCGGAUUGUAAACCCCUGUCAUGUGGGAGCAAAUUAAAAAGAUAGUACCACAAGAGGAAGAGACGGCUAACUCUGUGCCAGCAGCCGCGGUAAUACAGAGGUCUCAAGCGUUGUUCGGAAUCACUGGGCGUAAAGCGUGCGUAGGCUGUUUCGUAAGUCGUGUGUGAAAGGCGCGGGCUCAACCCGCGGACGGCACAUGAUACUGCGAGACUAGAGUAGUGGAGGGGGAACCGGAAGUCUCGGUGUAGCAGUGAAAUGCGUAGAUAUCGAGAGGAACACUCGUGGCGAAGGCGGGUUCCUGGACAUUAACUGACGCUGAGGCACGAAGGCCAGGGGAGCGAAAGGGAUUAGAUACCCCAGUAGUC